CCCGCCGCAGCCGCACUCUGAGCCGCCGCGGCCCGAUCACUGGGCGGCGGCGCCGGCGGCGGGUGGGACGGCGGCGGUCGAGCGGGAGGCGGGCCGGCCGGCGGCAGGCGGGCGGGCCGGCGGCAGGCGGACGGCGCAGUGCGGCUCCGGCCCGGCUGGACCGCGGGACCGUCCGCCGUCGCCAUUGGCCCGCGCUGCCGGGCCCCGCCGCCGCCCAUUGGCCCCCGCGCUGCACCAUUGUUACGUCACUGGCCAGUGGGCGGAGCGCCCAGAAGGACCCGCGGAAAAGUUGGGAGAAACUUGAGGGCGCGCGGGGGUGGGGACCGGCACGGGAAGGGCGGGGCUCCGGAAACCCGAGCCGCGGGCGGAGGCCGUCUGCUGGGCGGCGGGCGGCGGGGGUCUGGGCCGCAAUUGCGGAACGCUGCUCAGGGAGAGUCCGGAGGCGCGCGCAGGCUUCCCGGCAGCACCGAGCCUGACUCUUCUCUUCCCCUCGAGUCUUAUUCCAAGUCCCCUUUGCACCGACCCUCAGUGACCUUGGGGAGGAGCUCCGGGACUGUUUUCACGUGUGUGCAUGGAGGGGUCAAAGGCAUGGGAAUUACGACCCUCAAUCCAUCGGGCAGGAAAUCGGAGCUCAGAGGGAAGUGGCCUCCAAGUGAGCAGCGUCCCGGAAGGAAGACAGUAUCUUCAACCCAACCUUUGAAAACAAGUGUUUUUAAACUACAAGAGGGUCCAGAAUCUGCACUUAUUGUAGAGGGAGGAAACGAAGCUAACAUUCAAAGGGGACAAAAGGAAUCGACUAAGCCGGGAGGUAGCAACAU